rnacentral:lncRNA from 1 species
ACUUAACUUCUUUAAUCUAGAGUGUCACAGAAGGAUAGGAAAGAGGUUGAGGAUACUGUCUAAAAAGGUUUUCAUUAAUAUAGAAAGUAGUGUUUUGAAAGAAAAUAAGAUUGUGUGAUCUGAAAGGAAGAGCCCAGUAUGGACCCUGAUAUUAGCAUAUGUUGGAGCUUUUAUUUGUUUGUUAUUUGUAGUUUGUUUCAGAUCUGACUUACAAGCCUGGUUCUGACCUUGACCUGAUUUCUUUAAUCUAGAGUGUCACAGAAGGAUAGGAAAGAGGUUAUUACUAUGGAGUUAGAGAGAUAGCUCAGCAGGUAAGAGGGUGUGUAUCGUCCUGAUCCUAGUACACACACACACACACACACACACACUCCUAAAUACAACCUAAUCGCUCUGUAAUUUUACCUCUAUGUUUAUGAUCUUGUAGCUAUUUUGUAGGUUAUUAUUAAUCCUAACUUUGCUAUAUCAUAUGUUACACUUCUAAAUUUUCUUUAUUUACUUUUGGUUGUUUGAGACAUGGCCUCUUCUUGUCACAGAUAUAAACAUUCAUUCCUAAAAAACCCAAUAUACCUGUGUGUUACCUGUAUUUAUAUGACCUCACUUUUGUCAGUUAUUAAUCCUAACUUUUCUAUAUCAGAUAUUACACUUUUAUGUUUUAUUUACAUUUUAAUAUUGUUGCUUGAGACAUGGCAUUAUGUAUACUAGGCAGGCCUUGAACUUGUUCUCUGUCCCAAGGGAGGAUCUGGAGCAUGGCUCUUCCUGGUUCUACCUCCCGUGUGCUAGGAUUACAGGUGUAGGCCACCAGCCUGGUUAUACUGACCACAGGAGAAAAUCUUGUCUUAUGUUGUCCCUGACAGGAAGCUUUAGUACCUAAAUGACUGAUAGACGUGUUUUUAUAAUUACAAUUUGGCGUUUGGUUGACUUUCACAGGUGAACCACCACUGCGCUGCCCUUCCUGUAGAUUUUGUUUUGUUCAUGUGUGUAUACUGUUUGGAUCUAACUUGACAUAUAUUAGGUAAUAUUUUUCUUUUUCAAGCUGCUCAUGAAACACUGUUGUAUCUUCUUUGUAAAUAAGUGCUGUGAGAUCUUUAAUUAUUUUACUUUAUCUUGGGAAAUUUUUUGAAUUUUAUAAAUGAAAAUUACCUGAACUCCAUCCCUUUUUUCUUAGUAAUAAUGUCAAGACUUUAGUAAACUGUAAACAUACUGCAGUAUAUAGUUAAAUGUCUAGUUGUAGUUGCUUUAUAUUAGAUUAUUAUAGAUAUUGGUAGCUGUCAGAUCAAACUGUUGUUAGAGUCUGUCAGAUUUGAGUAAUGAGUCAGGUACUUUUAAAUCUGCUGUAGAAGAAAUGCUUAUGUCCAGAGGUUCGUGACUAGCCUAGGUGACAGGGAGAUCUCAUGGCCUCUUUUUUCUCCCUAACCUGAGUGGUAAUUGUUGAUAGUCUGUGUAGGUUUUUAUCACUCUAAUGUCUUUCAGUUUGGACUUCAGUCGGGUCUAUAUUUGUAAUACUCAAGUUAUUCCAAGAUUGGCCUGAUUAAAUUUUUAGACUGGAUGUGAACUAGGUAUAUAUGCUUCCAAAAUUAUCUUGAGGAUACUUACAUCUUAGUUCUUGUCUACUUUUGAAAAUGAGCUACAAGAAUAAGGAAGUUAUUAAAAAUACAGAGACAAAGUUCUAAUUCUAAAUCCUAGAGUUGAACCUUUACUUCCUCGCUGAAAUGCCAUUUCCUCAGUGGGGUUCUGCAGCAUGGAAUAUAUAUAUAUAGUUUUCAGUUAACUUGGAACAGUAUGAUUGUAUAACUAGUUUUGACCUGAGGCCAAAAUGAAUUGUCGUUUCCGAUCACUUGUAUUCAAUGAUCUUGUUGUAUCAGUCAGUCCUAGACAGUUUUAUCAGCUACAUAGGGCAACCCCAGUUUACUUUUACAUUCCCACAAACAACAUUUUGAGUUUCUAAUACCUGUUCGCCCGAGUUAAACAGAAAUGUCCAGUUUCUCCUUUGAUCUGUACUUGGUAGUAAGUAAGAUGGAAAACAGUGCUUACAUUGAGCCUUUAACCUCAGUUACUCUCCCACAGUAGGUGGAGAGCCGGAGUGGCAGCGAGCACUCUAAAGCUCUCUGUGGGAACGGAGAAGACCUGUAAUGCCUUUUACAUAUGUCUGGUUACUUCAAGUUCAUGCUGGCUGCAUUUGCUAUGUAUGGAAUAUGUUAAAAGCCUGAUUGAGAUUAAUUAAUUUUGUCUUCAGUUGGUUUCUUAAGACAAGGUCUUACUACAUAGCCCAAGAUCCUAUCCUGCCACAGCUUUUUGGAAUUAUAGAUGGGAACCACUGCAGCCAGCAGAGGACUCGGUUUGAUUUUUGUUGGGUCUCUGUGCUGUUCUAGCUGCUUCAGUCUUGCCCUCUGCUCUGCUUGUAGACCUCUGCUGCUUUCACCAUAGCUUCCCUCUCUCACCCUCACCACUGUCUCUUCCGUCUGCAUUUCCUUUAGGUAGGUACCCAGUUCCUGGCUCGUGGACAUUGGUAACAAUGUUUUUCCAAGGAGAAUACUGCUUCUCCUUUGCUCUGGGAAUGAGUAGUCAGUUGUCAGGACCCUUGUAUCUGGUUGCCUAUGAUGAUUGGUGAUUGUUGAUAGCCAUGUUAAAAAGUUGACAGGUUUUUACUGUUGGCACUUUCAAAGCACAAUUUUCAUAGACUUCUUAAUUAAGAGACCUUUGGGACGAGGAUACUUUUUAAAAGGAAUUGUGACCAGGGAGUAAAUUCUCAAGGUAUUGCCUCUCUUCUCAGUGAAAACACUGCUGAUCUGUAUUCUGUGGCAUUUGUAAAUCCCUGUUUUAGACAUGUGUAACACAGUCUACAAAUAAAUAUGUAGUGAUAAGCUGUGGUUCAUACUUCUAAAAUUCCACUAAAAAGCAGUUGUGAGUAGACUCAGAAAAUGUAGAAUUGAAGACUGUUCAAAGCUGGUGUUUUUAGGGCAAGAGCAAUGAUCUCAGCUGAAUGAAUGGCAUUUCCUAGAACAGCUGUUCACAGGCAAACAGCCCAUGCGGUCAUGCUAGACAAGGAACUGAUGUCUCUCAUCGUGACGCUUGGCGUGCUGUUUCUACCUUCCUUCUGUGGGGAGGGUGGACGUGGGUGGCCAGAUCUUAAACGCUUAGGAAAGCAAGUUUGAAAGUGAUUCUUUUACUGAGUAUUGCAUGCUAGUAAUACUUAAAAUGUUAGCAGACUGCCAACUGCAUGGGUAAUUGGCUUGUUAAUAUGACUGUUUCUAAGAAUCUUAGUAAAAUCAGAUUUGUGGCUAUAUGUUUAAAAUAGCUAUAAAAGCCUUAGCUUAUUUUAACUUCACAAUAUCUAUUCUAUAUUGAAUGUGGACAUACCUCACUCUAGGUAGGUGGAUUUCAUUGACUAUUUUCUAUAGACCAACAAGUGUUUUAUCAGUUAUGUCAUAAUUUAGACUUUGGCUUCUCCUUGCUAUUUUGCUGUAGCUGGUGUUUUGCAAGGAUUGAGAGAGUCUGUUCAUCUAGGUUGAGAACUGUUGGGUUUUAUGUAGGGACUCAUGGUUCUGAAUUGGCAACUUUGAAUUUAUACUUAUGAUUGUUGUUAGUGUUUGUUUGAGAGAAAGUUUUGCUAUUUUCCCAAAAUAGCUUUGAACUUCUAGGCUCAAGUAAAAUUCCUUACCUCAGACUUUGCAGAAGGUGCCCCUGUGGUGGUCUUCUGCCACACUGAGCCUGACUGUGAAUUCUUAACCAGACCCUCACUCAAGUGAUGCUGGUGGUGGACUUUUUACAGUGUGAUCACUAGGUAGGAGCAACCGCUAAAACGACAGAACUAAUGGUAUUACUACCUUAUAAAAUUGACUUGAAGAUUAGGGAAUUAUUUUAAUUUGAAUUUUAUGUAAAAUCAAGUGAUUUCUCUUAGAGCUGUGGCUCAGAGUAGAGCACUUACAUGCUACGUAGCAUGUCUGUGGGCCCAAGUUCUUUGUCUAGCAUUGCAGAGUAGAGAGAGGCCCACGUAUAGGUGUUCCUAAGUCUGCUGCUGCUGCCUUUGAGUUGUCUUGGGAAGUGCAUAAUGGAAUUGUAAGACAUGCAGACAUCUUCUCUUUCCUCUCUGGAUGCUUAGGUGCUCUACUUGAAGUGUUAGGACAGAGGAAGGCCAUUACAGUUGUGCUGAGGUAAGGCAAAGGGGCAACGACUUGAGGGAGUAGACAGAGGAAGACGCAAACAGCAGCCAAUUAGACUCUGCCUUAUUAUUUUCUAUUUCACCUGAACAGGUUUGAUUUGGUUUUUGUUAUAGUAUCAGAAUUAAAUACUUUAGAAUUUUAGUGCAUUUUGUUUUUUGUUUUGUUUUUUAUUUAUUUGGUUUUUUGGUCUUGUUUCGUUGCAUUUGUUUUUUUAAAUAUGCUUUCAGUGUGUAGCCCGGGCUAGCUUGGAACUUACUGUGUAGUCCGGACUGGCCUCACAGUGCCUGAGAAUCACCUGCCUCUGCUUGCCAACUGCUGGAAUUAAAGAUGAAUAAUGAGUAUUUAGUGGGGACUGAGUAGAAUUUG